CAGGUCUUGUAAUCUAAUGUGGAGGAACCCAGGCCCUGAAUCUAGGACCAGUAGAUCCAGCUGCAAGAGCUCCAUGCCUUACCUGUCAGAUUCAGAUUUCAGGGCCUGGGGAUUAAGUUAUUGGUUUGGAUGCUGUACAAACCUCAGAAGAACAGUUUUUUCCUCUCAUCAAGGAUUAUAUAGUUUCAUUGUUUGUAACUUCCAUAUGAGAUUAAAGUCAAAUGUUGGUGUUUCAUAAGCAAGAUUAUAAUCUAUUUUUAAAUCAUAAAUAUUUUAUUUUGGCAUAUUUCCUCCCCACUUCUUCUAAGCAUCUUGUGUUAGAAUAAUUACUCUUGGCUUUUUCUAUAGAUCAGAAGAACACUGUCCAGAUUAGAGUAAAAAGUCUGCCCCAAUCCACCCACUGAAACCUUCUUGUUUCCAAAAUCUGUUGGCAAUGCUCUUCUACUUGAGGUAGAAACAGGGAAAAAAACAGGGGCAGGUUUAAGACUCCUUCAAAUUUUAUACUGCUCCAUCAGCUGGCAUCAGAACUGGUAAAGAAAGAAGUCUGUGUUUUUAUAGGGACAGCUGAAAAUGGAAACUCCCUGAAACAUCACAAGCAGCCUAGGUACAUGGAUAAGCAAAUCGAGAUACAAGUCAAAUAUCACGCACAUUAAAUAACUACACUGCAGUGAGUGCUGCUGGAAGCUGGACUUCACAAGGAGUGAAGAUUCAACCUUUACUUUUUAUUGUUUUUUAAAAAGAGGGGGUUUUGUACAAAAUAUUCUGUGAAACUCAGAAUUGCUUGAACAGCUGAAGGCUUGCAAGUCUGGCUUUAUUUCUGUCUUGCUACAUUUCUGCAGAUUCCUCCAGGGACUCUCAAGUUUCUCUAGGCUCUGAUGAUCAGUAUAACCCUACUUUAAUUCUUACUGGGGUUACACAGUAGGGUCCUUAUCCUGGCCAACAGGAACAAUGUGAGUGGGGUUUCUCUCUCAGCCUCUGGACUCUGUAGGUGCUGCUGUGCCUGUCUGCUUGCCAGGGAGAGCCACGGAAGAUGGGACAUCUCCUGCAGUGCUUAUGUUGCAAAUGAACUCUUAAGAUGUUUGUUUCUUACAUUAAAACUACAAUGCAUUUAAAAUCAAGAAAUGUAAAAGUUAUAUAUUUUAUAUAUUGUAUGAAAUUCCCAUAUGCAUUUUGGGUCUAUUCCAUUCGUUUCAGAGCAGUCAUUUUAAUUGUAGGUAUUAACUAUCGGUAAUAAUUUGGCCUCUUGACAGAACAAAAAUUUGCUGUUAAUUGUCUGCCUUACAGCAAAAUAUGUUUUCUGCUAAUAAAUUAUUAAUCUGACAGUAA
ensembl:lncRNA